rnacentral:misc_RNA from 1 species
UGCCUGUUCGAGCGUCAUUAUGACCAAAUCACCUUCUGGUGGACUUGGAGCUGGCCGUUAGGCUCUCUCAAAAUCAGUGGCGGUGCUAGUAAGCUCUACGCGUAGUAAUUUUCUCGCGACAGUGUCUUGUUAGUCCUUGUCAACAACCCCAAUUUUUUAAGGUUGACCUCGGAUCAGGUAGGGAUACCCGCUGAACUUAA